rnacentral:rRNA from 1 species
CUUGACCUCAAAUCAGGUAGGACUACCCGCUGAACUUAGC